AUUGAACGCUGGCGGCAGGCCUAACACAUGCAAGUCGAGCGGAUGAAGGGAGCUUGCUCCUGGAUUCAGCGGCGGACGGGUGAGUAAUGCCUAGGAAUCUGCCUGGUAGUGGGGGAUAACGUCCGGAAACGGGCGCUAAUACCGCAUACGUCCUGAGGGAGAAAGUGGGGGAUCUUCGGACCUCACGCUAUCAGAUGAGCCUAGGUCGGAUUAGCUAGUUGGUGGGGUAAAGGCCUACCAAGGCGACGAUCCGUAACUGGUCUGAGAGGAUGAUCAGUCACACUGAAACGGGAAACCGGCCCAACCCCUUAGGGGAGGCAGCGGGGGGAAAUUUUGGAAAGGGGGGGAAAGCCUGACCCACCCAUGCCGGGUGUGGGAAAAAGGUCUUCGGUUUUAAAAGCCUUUUAAGUGGGGAGGAAGGGAAGUAAGUUAAUACUUGGUUUUUUGAACGUUACCAAAAAAAAAAGCCCCGGCAAAUUUCGG
rnacentral:rRNA from 1 species